rnacentral:piRNA from 1 species
UGGGAUUAAAGGUGAGCACCACCACCGCCC